CUGAGACUGUGGCUGACAUGUCUCCCCAGGUGAAUAUAAAAAUACCCAAAGGACAGAGCCCUUCAGCAGCGGUUGCUUUUCAUCUUUGAAGUUCACAGGCUGAAACAAGUUGCAUCUGCAGCCUCACACACAGAGAAAACUCCGGUGUCUUAUCUUCCAUUGAGCUGCAUCUGAUGAAGGUUGCUGACAGCAUAAUGGCUGGGAAAACGUCGGACAGCUCCAUAAAAUGGCAGCUAUGUUAUGACAUGUCAGCCAGGACCUGGUGGAUGAUUAUUUUGUACGUGACUUCUUUCAAGGAGAAAAAUCAUGUAAGCAGUUUAAAUUACAGUUGCUUGGCUAUAUUUAGAGUUCUGUUAAUGACCUUUCACAUUACUUAAAAAUAUCGCUUGGAAUAUAUUAAAGACAUAUCUCCUAAAUUGCACUAUUUCAUUAAUGGUUAUUGAUGAUGCUUUAAACCACUCAUAAACUAACAAAAACAAUUUUUGGACUUUCCAUUCUAUUUUGUACUGCAUAUUUGAAGCUUUCUGGGAGACUUAGUAGAACUUCUUUGUCAGCUAUGUGGAACUUCAGAGUAGCAGGCAUGCACCAGACAUUAUUUUUUUCUCUGACUUUCAGUCUAAUCCUUCGAACCCAACAGAACAAGGCCAGAACAUUUGUAAAUUUACUUUAAUCGUGAAGGGCAAUUAUUUGAAUAUUAAUCUGUAAAAUUCAUUUGAAAAACUAAUUGCCAGUCUAUGCAACUUGAAAUUCUCAUAGUCUUGUAAAUAGCAACCACAGUGAAUGGGCAUAUAAGCACAAAAACUAAGCUAGAUCUUAUAUUAUCCAAGGUUAUUCUUGGUUGAACACCAAUCAGUCUGCUCAGUUGUAAUGCACUUUUCAUUUGUCUUAAAAGAAAAUCAUUUUUACUUUUUGAGAAGUUAGUGUGUUAAAAUAGCAAACCAAGUACUCUUACAUAAUCUUAUCCUUUUGUUUAAGACAAUGUUAAUAAAAGUGACAAAUCCAUCA
rnacentral:lncRNA from 13 species